GGAAUCUUCCACAAUGGGCGCAAGCCUGAUGGAGCAACACCGCGUGAGUGAAGAAGGGUUUCGGCUCGUAAAACUCUGUUGUUAGAGAAGAACACGAGUGAGAGUAACUGUUCAUUCGAUGACGGUAUCUAACCAGCAAGUCACGGCUAACUACGUGCCAG
rnacentral:rRNA from 1 species